UACGGGGGGAGCAAGCGUUGUUCGGAUUUACUGGGCGUAAAGGGCGCGUAGGCGGCCACCGCAAGUCAGUUGUGAAAUCUCUGGGCUUAACCCAGAAAGGUCAACCGAUACUGCGGGGCUAGAGUGCAGAAGGGGCAACUGGAAUUCUCGGUGUAGCGGUGAAAUGCGUAGAUAUCGAGAGGAACACCUGCGGCGAAGGCGGGUUGCUGGGCUGACACUGACGCUGAGGCGCGAAAGCCAGGGGAGCGAACGGG
rnacentral:rRNA from 1 species